UCUUUUUCUGAUAGGGUCUCAUUGUGUAGUCUUGGCUUUCCUGGGACUCACCAUGCAUACCCAGCUGGCCUCAAACUGGUAAAGAUUCUGCUUCCCUAGUGCCGGGACUAAAGGUUCCAGGGAUUGAGCUCAGGUCAUCAGGCUUGGAGGCCAGUACCUUUACCUGCUGAGUCAUCUCAGUUUCCAACAACAGAAGGUCUUCAUCAGUAAUGGAAAAUACAUGUACUUCAACACAGACCUUUGUAACUAGCACACUGAAUAAACAAGGGCUAAAUAAUCA